rnacentral:rRNA from 1 species
UACGGGGGGGGCAAGCGUUGUUCGGAAUUACUGGGCGUAAAGGGCCCGUAGGCGGCCAACUAAGUCGGAUGUGAAAUCCCCAGGCUCAACUUGGGAACUGCAUCCGAUACUGGAUGGCUUGAAUUCGGGAGAGGGAUGCAGAAUUCCAGGUGUAGCGGUGAAAUGCGUAGAUAUCAUCAGGAAUACCGGAGGCGAAGGCAGCCCCCUGGGCCAAUACUGACGCUCAGGCACGAAAGCGUGGGGAGCAAACAGG